UCAUCAGUAGGGUGAUCCUUACCUGUAGUCCUUCGGGACACAGUGAGGACCACGUGAUGAAAUAGAGAGUAAUGAUUGGUCAUGACUUACUUUCUCUGGGUUGGCAGGAAAUGCAACACCUUCCAAUACCACUUCUGAC